GAGCAAUUGGCUAAGGAGAUCUCCCCUCAGCACUCCCUUGGAUCUACAUGUCACAGGUGGGACAUGACACCAGGGUGGUGAGGACAUAGGGGAUGGGGGGUAAUUAACACCACAUGGAUAUCCCAUGUGCAGCAAGAGGUGCCAAUAGAGAGAGGAUGGCUCUGGAAGGGUUCCUGUCUUGAUCUUAUGCUGCAGAAAUGAGGCUCUGCAGUGCCCAGGUACAUAAAGCAGGCGCAGGAUUUGGGCAUGAUCCCUUUCCUGGGUAAGGAUGCUCCAAGGGUUAUUCCAAAAAUGUUUUGAGAAUGCGGAAGGGAAACUGGGGUGAUUUCCAGGUGUGAGGUUGCUCCUUUUUGUUUGAUUUCCUAUGCAGCAACGAGAUGAUGCUGUGGCCAUAGUGUGAGGCUGGGCAGAUGCAGGUGUGCUUUGGGAUCCGUGUGCCUCUACCUGCAUCAAAGCCACCAAAAAAGAGCCUUUGGAUGGUGGCAGGAGGGGAAAUGCAUUAUGGAGUCUUGCAAAUGGGAUGCUGUCAUCCCAUCCCAUAGAGGCAGAGCAACAUACCAGUCCUUUCUUAUCCACAAGGUCAAGGAAAGGAGAGAGUUGUGCUGCAGGAUCAUACGGUGCACAGUUGCAUUUCUGCCAUGCAUUCCUAAAUUCAUCAUAGUUUAGAUAAUUGAUCAUCAGAAUGGCAGAAACCCCAUGUCAGCCCACGUUUCUCAGGGGACAGAGCUGGCUCUGUGGGCAUCUUCCAAGGCCUGCGUACCCUGCCCCGUACCAGUGCACUCAGGAGCUGUGUCCAUGCAGAGCUAUGAGCACUGGUGACACUCAGCCCAUCCAUAUGUCUGUCCAGGUCAUGUGUCCGAUUCCACGGCAGGAACCAUAACUGCAGGUGAGGGACUCUCCUUUGCUCCUACUGACCCCAUCCCUUCACCUUUUCCCUAUCCCUCCCCUCUUUUCCCAUCUCAUCUCUAUGGCGCUGUUACACCCCAACUUCUGCGUCACUCCCAUCUGACCCCAUCACCCUCUGUGUCCCCAGACACCAACACUCCUCUGAACCUCACAGUCAUUCAUGUGGUAUCAGUUACUGUCACCCUCCUGCUGUCUGCAGCCACCUUCUGGACCAUUAGGAAAGGUGAGGACUUGAGGGGACUGUGGGGGAUCCAUGAGGCUGCCACAGCUUUGAUGUGAGACUGUUUUUCUUACAGGUGCCUGCCGGGAGAGAUGCCGAAGGUGAGAAGGAAGGCUGGGAGGGGACGACUGAGAGCAUUUGGGAACUUGGGGAAGUCCUUUUGCAGGGCAGCAUUAUCUGUGAGUUCCCCCAUAAGAGGAAGGGACUGCCAUGGUGUUGGAGAAGGAAGGAUUUCCUCAUGGUAACAUUACUGAUCGCACGUGGUUGCCUGGAGGAUGAGGGAUUGCUGUGGGGUUGGACUGAAUGCUGUGCCUGAUGCAAGGAGGCAUCAUCCAAAUGAAUAACAGUCCUGGCCCCCUGCAGCAAACACCCACCCCAAAUCCAUUUUCCCUUAAUCCACAGGCAGCAGCACGUUCCCAGCCAGCAGGUGCAAGCCACCGACUACGGAGAAGUCCAGUGUGAGUGCUGGGCACCCCUUUUCCAUGGGAACCCCCUUCCCUUGGGCUCCCAUUUGCCAUCCCACCUGUCCCUUUCCCACUUGGACAUGCAAAAACCAUUUCUCAAGAGUCAUUUUCUCCAGGGUGCUUUCAUCACAGUGCUCAUAGUGACAAAUCCCAUUUGCACAGCGGGUCUCACACUUCAGACUCUGCUGUUCUCCCAUCUACAGUUCCUCUCACUAUGGUGUUUGUUUCAAGCACAGACCAAAGCUCAGCCCUGCACUGGAGGAUAUUGCUGUGCACACAGACAGCAGUGGGGAAAUAUCUCAUAGGUAUUUGCUCUGCAAGUGCAGGCAGCUGCAAAGUGGGGAUGCUGUGGUCGGGGAUGGGGGAUAUAACGCCACCACACCUGCACCUUGCUCUGUUUGCAGCUUGAGUUUCAUUGCAGAGCAGCAGGCUCAGAUGUGCUGUGUAAAUAUAGAAAAUGCCUCAAAUGAUGGGAAAAUGCCCCCCCAAAGCCCAGCGUCUCUGGUCCUCCAAAUCUUCCUGCAGAGUGGUGCAAUUGGGGUGGACAGUCAGUCCAGAGCCCCGCGGGGUCUGCUGCCCAAACCAGUGGUGGGUCGCCCCCCUUCCCACAUGAAUACUGAGCACUCAUAGUGUUUUUUUUUUUCCCCACAGACUCAACCAUUGCCCACUUUCGAAGGGACAAGGUGAGUCAGGGCCCUUCUCACCCAAAACUAAAGUGAUAUGCUCCACAGAAAUGGCCUUAUCAUUUUGGUACGCUUGCUCAUGCAUCUCUUUACUUGCACAAAAACUGCAAAUCACAAGGUUUAAUUUCUGAGUCACAAGUCACUCUACCUCAGUCUACAGCAAAUGCCUCCCCUUGUUUUCCAACCCAGAUCUGCUCUGACUUUUGCUAGCUGACUCCUGCCUGCUUCUCCAAUGCGUGCAGCUCCCUCCAGCGCUCCUGGAGCCUCCUUGUGCAGGGCUUGCAGGCUGCAGCUGCAAUAAUAGGGCUUUCCUUUCCCCUCCAGCCUCCCUUGAAGCAGAUGACCCGCAGCAGAGAUGCAUAGGCUUCAGCAUGCCAAGGCAACCAGGACUGCGUCACGACCAUUGUGUUUUCUUGCAGAGGGCUCUUGGGGCAGAACAUGGGGCUUUUGGGUUCAUGGGGUAUGCUCUCCCAUUAUUUCUAGCCACUAAGAUAUAUGACUUGCUUAUGUAUGGACCACCUAG
ensembl:lncRNA